CUGAGGCAGGAGAAUUGAUUGAGCCCAGGAGGCAGAGGUUGCGAUGAGCCAAGAUCACGCCAUUGCACUCCAGCCUGGGCAACAAAAGUGAAACUCCAUCCCAAAAAAAAAAAAAACAGUGGAAGUGUUCCAAAAUGGAGAAUAGCAUUUGUAUUUACUAAUGGUGGCAAUAUAAAUUGGUACCACUUUUUGUGAGGUAGCAAAUUUAGGGGUUAAGAAUGUGGGCUCUGGGGCCAAAUUUGCUGAGUUCUAAUCUUGGCUCUUACAGCCUGUUAGCUUUGUGACAUUGGGCAAGUUACUUAACUUCUCUGUGCUUCAGUUUCUUCAUAUUUAAAAUGGAAAUAGACAAUAAUACCUACUUCAUAAGGCUUUGUGAAAUAUAUAUGUUAAUACAUGUAAAGCAUUAAAAAUAAUUAACAAUAUAUCUUAAGUAUUCAGUCAUUAAUAAUUAUUAUUACUGGAAAUCAGUUUGGCAAUAAGUAGGAAGAACUUAGAUACCAUUGGUGUCACUUCUGGGACUCUAUACCCUAAAAAUUAUGCACAAAGUAGUUUCCUAAUAACACAGGAUCUACAAGCACAGGCUUUGGAAUGAGUCAAGUAAAGGUAAACAGCAUGUUUAAAAUGUUUCUCCAAAGCAAGUAUAACAUAAAUCCAUAAAUUUACAGUCCAAAUUAAAUAUGCAUUUGAGUAGACUUGAGGGCAGCUGUAACACUUCCAUAAGCCCUUAGAGAUACUUUGAGAAAUAGGAUACAGGGCUGACUGUUCCUUAGUUCUGAUCCUGUGUGAUAAUCCUUACUUUCUCAUUUAUAAGUGGACAUCCAAAGGUGAUACAGCUGGAAAAAGGAUCUUCAUCCAAGACAAAGAGAAACAAAGUCGAUAGGAAAGUGAUGAAAGGCAUCAAGCAAAGUGAAGAUGCAAAUGAGAAAACAAGAUCAGAAGACAGGAAUAUCUGAAACAAGUCACAAAUGCAUAGUAUGACCUCUCAGGUAAGGACCAGGGCUGGAUCAUCCCAGGAUGUUCAAGGCAUACUCUCAGGGGGCGCUGUGUUAUACUGAGAUCUUGCUAGGCAAAAACAUGGUUUUUGUCUUUUCUGUUGAAAAGGUACCUUUUGGGAGGCCAGGCGCGGUGGCUUACUCCUGUAAUCCCAGCUAAUGCCAGCUACUUGGGAGGCUGAGGCAGGAGAAUCGUUUAAACUCAGGAGGUGGAGGUGGCGGUGAGCCGAGAUCAUGCCAUUGCACUCCAGCUUGAGCAAAAAGAGCAAAAUUCCGUCUCAAAAAAAAAAAAAAAAAAGAAAGAGAAAGAAAGAAAAAGAAAAGAAAAGGUACCUUUUGGGAAGAAGCAUUAAAAAAAUUUUUUUUUUCCGCUGGCAGUAUUUAGGAAGAAGAAUUCUAUUUAUUACUUCAGUAGAGUAACAUGCUUUACUAAAAUAAGCUUCCAUUCUACAUGGUUUUUUUUUUUUUUUUUUAGACAGAGUCUCACUCUGUUGCCCAGGCUGGAGUGCAGUGGUGCGAUCUCGGCUCACUGCAACCUCUGCCUCCUGGGUUCGAGUGUUUCUCCUGCCUCAGCCUCCCGAGUAGCUGGGACUACAGGAGUACACCACCACACCCGGCUAAUUUUUGUAAUUUUAGUAGAGACGGGGAUUUCACCAUAUUGGUCAGGCUGGUCUCGAACUCCUGACCUCAGGUGAUCCACCUGCCUUGGCCUCCCAAAGUGCUGGGAUUACAGGCAUGAACCACUGCGCCUGGCCCAUGAUUGUUCUUAAAAUAAGAAACACCACAUAAUAUUCAGUGUUCCUUAUUUUGAAGGGCUCUUUAUUUGGUUAUAUUUUAGGCAUAUGAAGCUAUUUCAUAAUCCCAAAAGGGGUAUUUAAUGAGAUUUAGAAUUGAUAGUCUUCUGUUGAUAUAUAUUUAUAGUUAUUUAUACACAUAUUUGUAUGUUCUUAAAAUAAAAUGUUCAAAGUUUUUGAUUCAAAUGUAACAUGUCUAAAAUUGAAAUCAUUGUUUUUUUGUUUUUUUUUUUUCACAACUCAAACCCUCUUCUUUUCCCAUAAACACCAUAUUGGGAAAUGGCACCACCAUGGGCAUAGUUGCUCAAGCUAGAAGGAUGGGGGUAUUUUGGCUCAUCCCCUUCACUCUUCACAUCUAAUUAAUUCCCUCUUUUGAGUAACAUUUACUAAGUGCCAGGCCUUCUGCUAGUCUUUCGUGAAGCUUGGAGUUAGAGUGAGAGACCGAUAUUACUCAAAUGAUCUUGCCAGUGAAUGUACAAGUUACAGGUGGAGAUAAGUGCUCUGCAGAAAGGAGCAUGACUCUUGUGAGAGAAACAGAAGACCAUGUUCUGAACUGGGAAUCAAGGAAGACUUCCCUGAGGACGUGACCCUUGUUUGGACUCUAUUCUGUUUAUGCUAAGGAUUUUAAUAAGGAGCAGGUGAUGGACAUGAUCCAGCGUACAUUUUUAGAGGAAUAUCAUGAGUCCUAUCACUUCAUCUCCUAAAUAUUUCUGACAUCUGUUCUCUUUCCUCCAUCCUCACGACCUUCACUGGCAUGGGCCUCCAACAGCUCACUGUGGGGGAAGUUUCCCUCAAAGGGCACUGAUAACACAUCUUAUUAAAACUAUACCACAUCAUUAUACCUCCCCAACAUAAUAUGUACAUGUAUGUAUUUGACAAUAAUAUAUAUGUAUUACUGUCCUAUUUAUUAUAUACAUUAAAAAACAGAGACCCAAUGGAGGCAGUGUCCUAUUGGCUAUACUUCCCAAAUCAAGCCAUUCAUUUCUCAAUCCCAUUCACUAAUUUACAGAGAUUUACUUAUUUUUCAUUGCUAGUCUGCAAAUGUACACUUAAAUGAAGGUCAUCCUUAAUAAUUAUGAAUGUGAACCCAUGAAACCUACUUCAUAAUUCUGAAUUUGUUUUGACAGAUUCUUUUCCACAGUUAGAGGGCCAUUGCUAUACCUGACAUUGUGGCUGACAAAAGAGCUCUUAUUAGGACUGGAAGUGUCAGUUCUACUUUUUCUUCUUUCUUUAUGCUCAUGUUAUUAUUAUUUUUUAAAUCUGAAGUUUAGAGGAAUCUUUUAACUCUACUUGUCUAUUUGGGAAGACACACUAAACUAGAUAAUAUAAUUUAUAAAUUCCCUCAACUAAGCACACAGAACUGUAAUACAUUGAAAUCUGCCAAAGAGAACAAAUCAGUGAGGGCACGACUGUAUUCCUUUGUGUCUUUUUCAAGACACCUUGAGUACUGUAAGUGACAGGGAGCCAUCUGAUGUACAGGCUGAAGGGGGCCACCAUCAACCUAGUAACCUAAACAGAAGUUCCAAUAUUUUCACCCUGCAGUCCACUUUGUAACCUUUUCUUAGCCUUCCACAAGAGUCUCCUAACUGGACUCCCUCCAUCCACUUCUGGGCACCUAAUGUCUCUACUACAGAUUAGAAAUUACUUUCACAGAAGGCCAUUUCUGAA
rnacentral:lncRNA from 1 species